UAAUACGUAGGGGGCAAGCGUUGUCCGGAUUUAUUGGGCGUAAAGAGCUCGUAGGCGGCUUGGCAAGUCGGGUGUGAAACCUCCAGGCUCAACCUGGAGUCGCCAUUCGAUACUGCUAUGGCUUGAGUUUGGUAGGGGACCACGGAAUUCCUGGUGUAGCGGUGAAAUGCGCAGAUAUCAGGAGGAACACCAGCGGCGAAGGCGGUGGUCUGGGCCAAUACUGACGCUGAGGAGCGAAAGCGUGGGGAGCGAACAGGAUUAGAUACCCUGGUAGUCCACGCCGUAAACGUUGGGCACUAGGUGUGGGGACCUAUCGACGGUUUCUGUGCCGCAGCUAACGCAUUAAGUGCCCCGCCUGGGGAGUACGGCCGCAAGGCUA
rnacentral:rRNA from 1 species